rnacentral:rRNA from 1 species
CGUCAAGUCAGCAUGGCCUUUAUGUCCGGGGCUACACACACGCUACAAUGGCCGGUACAAUGGGUCGCAAAACCGCAAGGUGGAGCCAAUCCCCAAAGCCGGUCUCAGUUCGGAUUGCAGGCUGCAACUCGCCUGCAUGAAGCCGGAGUUGCUAGUAACCGCAGGACAGCUAUACUGCGGUGAAUACGUUCCCGGGUCUU